UAACCUGCCCAUUGAAUAAAUUUAAAAGGCUGCGGUAUUUUGACCGUACAAAGGUAGCAUAAUCAUUAGUUUUUUAAUUGAGAACUAGAAUGAAUGGUUGAAUGAAAUAUUAACUUUUUUAAUGAAAAAUAUAAAAUUUUACUUUUUAAUUAAAAGGUUAAAAUAAUUUUAAAAGACGAGAAGACCCUAUAGAGUUUUAUAUUAUUAUUUAAUAUAUUUUUUUUUUGAUUAAUAAAAUUUAUAUUUUAUAAAAUAUUUUAUUGGGGUGAUAGUAAAAUUUAAUAAACUUUUAUUAAUUUAUACAUUAAUAAAUGAAUAGUUGAUCCAUUUUUAAUGAUUAAAAAUUUAAAUUACCUUAGGGAUAACAGCGUAAUUUUUUUUUAAGUUCUUAUUAAUAAAAAAUUUUGCGACCUCGAUGUUGGAUUAAGAUUUAAUUUUAGGUGCAGAAGUUUAAAAUUUAA
rnacentral:rRNA from 1 species